UACGGGGGGGGCAAGCGUUGUUCGGAAUUACUGGGCGUAAAGGGCUUGUAGGUGGCCAACUAAGUCAAACGUGAAAUCCCUCAGCUUAACUGGGGAACUGCGUCUGAUACUGGAUGGCUUGAGUUUGGGAGAGGGAUGCGGAAUUCCAGGUGUAGCGGUGAAAUGCGUAGAUAUCUGGAGGAACACCGGUGGCGAAGGCGGCAUCCUGGACCAAUACUGACACUGAAAAGCGAAAGCCAGGGGAGCAAACGGG
rnacentral:rRNA from 1 species